rnacentral:rRNA from 1 species
UACGUAGGGGGCAAGCGUUGUCCGGAAUUACUGGGCGUAAAGCGCGCGUAGGCGGUUCGUUAAGUGGGAUGUGAAAUCCCCGGGCUUAACCUGGGAAUUGCAUUUCAAACUGGCCGACUAGAGUACGGUAGAGGGAGGUAGAAUUUCCUGUGUAGCGGUGAAAUGCGUAGAUAUAGGAAGGAAUACCAGUGGCGAAGGCGGCCUCCUGGAUCGAUACUGACGCUGAGGCGCGAAAGCGUGGGGAGCAAACAGG